rnacentral:rRNA from 1 species
CAGCAGCCACGGGAAUACGUAGGGUGCAAGCGUUAAUCGGAAUUACUGGGCGUAAAGCGUGCGCAGGCGGUUCGUUAAGACAGAUGUGAAAUCCCCGGGCUUAACCUGGGAACUGCAUUUGUGACUGGCGGGCUAGAGUAUGGCAGAGGGGGGUAGAAUUCCACGUGUAGCAGUGAAAUGCGUAGAGAUGUGGAGGAAUACCGAUGGCGAAGGCAGCCCCCUGGGCCAAUACUGACGCUCAUGCACGAAAGCGUGGGGAGCAAACAGGAUUAGAUACCCCUGUAGUCCCUGUCUCUUAUAA